CAAGUCGAACGCAGUAGCAAUACUGAGUGGCAGACGGGUGAGUAACAUGUGGGAAUCUGCCUUGUGGUUCAGGACAACAUUGGGAAACCGAUGCUAAUACUGGAUAAGCCCUUACGGGGAAAGUUUUAAUGCCAUAAGAUGAGCCCGCAUUUGAUUAGUUAGUUGGUGAGGUAAUGGCUCACCAAGACGAUGAUCAAUAGCUGAUCUGAGAGGAUGAUCAGCCACACUGGGACUGAGACACGGCCCAGACUCCUACGGGAGGCAGCAGUGGGGAAUCUUGCACAAUGGAGGAAACUCUGAUGCAGCGAUGCCGCGUGAGUGAAGAAGACCUUUGGGUUGUAAAGCUCUUUUGUAGGGGAAGAUAAUGACUGUACCCUAAGAAUAAGGUCCGGCUAACUUCGUGCCAGCAGCCGCGGUAAUACGAAGGGACCUAGCGUAGUUCGGAAUUACUGGGCGUAAAGCGCGCGUAGGCCGUUGAGUUAGUUAAUUGUGAAAUCCCAAAGCUUAACUUUGGAACUGCAAUUAAAACUGCUCGACUAGAGUUUGAUAGAGGAAAGCGGAAUACAUAGUGUAGAGGUGAAAUUCGUAGAUAUUAUGUAGAACACCAGUUGCGAAGGCGGCUUUCUGGAUCAACACUGACGCUGAGGCGCGAAAGUAUGGGUAGCAAAGAGGAUUAGAUACCCUCGUAGUCCAUACCAUAAACGAUGAUUGCUAGAUGUUGGAAAUUUAUUUUCAGUAUCGCAGCUAACGCAUUAAGCAAUCCGCCUGGGGAGUACGACCGCAAGGUUAAAACUCAAAUGAAUUGACGG
rnacentral:rRNA from 1 species